UGAGGAAUAUUGGUCAAUGGACGCAAGUCUGAACCAGCCAUGCCGCGUGCAGGAUGACGGCUCUAUGAGUUGUAAACUGCUUUUGUAUGAGGGUAAACUCAUCUACGUGUAGGUGACUGAAAGUAUCAUACGAAUAAGGAUCGGCUAACUCCGUGCCAGCAGCCGCGGUAAUACGGAGGAUCCAAGCGUUAUCCGGAUUUAUUGGGUUUAAAGGGUGCGCAGGCGGUUUGAUAAGUCAGUGGUGAAAACUUGGGGCUUAACCCCAAGCUUGCCUCUGAUACUGUCGAACUAGAGAUUGGUUGCGGUAGGCGGAAUGUAUGGUGUAGCGGUGAAAUGCUUAGAGAUCAUACAGAACACCGAUUGCGAAGGCAGCUUACCAAGCCACAUCUGACGCUCAGGCACGAAAGCAUGGGUAGCAAACA
rnacentral:rRNA from 1 species